rnacentral:rRNA from 1 species
UACGGGAGGCAGCAGUAGGGAAUAUUGGACAAUGGGCGCAAGCCUGAUCCAGCCAUGCCGCGUGAGUGAAGAAGGCCUUAGGGUUGUAAAGCUCUUUUACCCGGGAAGAUAAUGACGGUAUCGUGAGAAGAAGCCCCGGCUAACUCCGUGCCAGCAGCCGCGGUAAUACGGAGGGGGCAAGCGUUGUUCGGAAUUACUGGGCGUAAAGGGCGCGUAGGCGGAUCGUCAAGUCAGAGGUGAAAGCCCCGGGCUCAACCCGGGAGGUGCCUUUGAAACUGACGGUCUUGAGUACGGGAGAGGUGAGCGGAAUUCCCAGUGUAGAGGUGAAAUUCGUAGAUAUUGGGAAGAACCCCAGUGGCGAAGGCGGCUCACUGGCCCGUAACUGACGCUGAGGCGCGAAAGCGUGGGGAGCAAACAGGAUUAGAUACCCUGGUAGUCCACGCCGUAAACGAUGUGUGCUAGCCGUUGGACACACAUAGCAUUUUCGGUGGCGCAGCUAACGCAUA